rnacentral:sRNA from 1 species
UAAGGAUACGAAUUAUGUGCUAAGC